rnacentral:tRNA from 2 species
GCGGGAAUAGCUCAGUUGGUAGAGCACGACCUUGCCAAGGUCGGGGGCUCGAGUUCGAGUCUCGUUUCCCGCUCCA